rnacentral:rRNA from 1 species
ACAUUGGGACUGAGACACGGCCCAGACUCCUACGGGAGGCAGCAGUAGGGAAUUUUCGGCAAUGGGGGCAACCCUGACCGAGCAACGCCGCGUGAGUGAUGAAGGUCUUCGGAUUGUAAAGCUCUGUUGUAAGGGAAGAACGGCAUCUAGAGAAUAGGUGAGUGACGGUACCUUACCAGAAAGCUACGGCUAACUACGUGCCAGCAGCCGCGGUAAUACGUAGGUAGCGAGCGUUAUCCGGAAUUAUUGGGCGUAAAGGGUGCGUAGGCGGCCUGUUAAGUUUAUGGUGAAAGCGUGGGGCUCAACCCCAUAAAGCCAUAGAUACUGGCAGGCUAGAGUACUGGAGAGGGUAGUGGAAUUCCAUGUGUAGCGGUAAAAUGCGUAGAUAUAUGGAGGAACACCGGUGGCGAAGGCGGCUACCUAGACAGAGACUGACGCUGAGGCACGAAAGCGUGGGGAGCAAAUAGGAUUAGAUACCCUAGUAGUCCACGCUGUAAACGAUGAAUGCUAGGUAUCGGGGCGACCCGGUGCCGAAACUAACGCGAUAAGCAUUCCGCCCUGUGGAGUAUGCACCGCAAGUGUGAAACAUAAAGGAAUUGACCGGGGGCCCGCACAAGCGGUGGAGUAUGUGGUUUAAUUCGACGCAACCCCGAAAAACCUUUACCAGGCCUUGACAUCCCUU